rnacentral:sRNA from 1 species
ACUGAUGCAGAGUUGGGAUUGCUUCUUUCCUAAAUCAAAAUUCCUGUUGAGCCAGUAAGAACAGAUUCCCCACUGCACCGAUGUCCGGCACGCAGUCCCCAGGCGGGCACACUGCCCAGCACCCCGGGGGCAGGAGCUCAGAGCUGACUUGCUUCUUGCCCAGGUCUGGGGUUGGUGCAGUGCCCGCAGCUCACGGGCCACAGCAGCGGAAGGUCUGCGGCGUUUUGGACCUUGCUGUUGCCGGGGCAGUGGGUGUUGGCGCCACAUCCAGGACCUGCCUGGUGCCGCUGCCAUCACAGUGAAGCUGGACUGAAACCCACAGACAGGCCCAGCCCUGCCGGGCAGGUGUGAUCAGGCUGGCGCUGCGGAAAAGCCCCACUAGGCAGGGCGAGUGCUCCCCCAAGUGCCGCAGCCUGUUCGUGCUGGAGACCGUGUGCGUGGCCUGGUUCUCCUUCGAGUUCCUGCUGCGCUCCCUGCAGGCCGAGAGCAAGUGCGCCUUCCUGCGCGCGCCGCUCAACAUCAUCGACAUCCUGGCGCUCCUGCCGUUCUACGUGUCGCUGCUGCUGGGGCUGGCGGCAGGCCCGGGCGGGACCAAGCUCCUGGAGCGCGCGGGGCUGGUGCUGCGGCUGCUGCGUGCGCUGCGCGUGCUCUACGUGAUGCGCCUGGCGCGCCACUCGCUGGGGCUGCGUUCGCUGGGCCUGACCGUGCGCCGCUGCGCGCGCGAGUUCGGGCUGCUGCUGCUGUUCCUCUGCGUGGCCAUGGCGCUCUUCGCGCCACUGGUGCACCUGGCCGAGCGCGAGCUGGGCGCGCGCCGCGACUUCUCCAGCGUGCCCGCCAGCUACUGGUGGGCCGUCAUCUCCAUGACCACCGUGGGCUACGGCGACAUGGUCCCGCGCAGCCUGCCCGGGCAGGUGGUGGCGCUCAGCAGCAUCCUCAGCGGCAUUCUGCUCAUGGCCUUCCCGGUCACCUCCAUCUUCCACACCUUUUCACGCUCCUACUCCGAGCUCAAGGAGCAGCAGCAGCGCGCGGCCAGCCCCGAGCCGGCCCUGCAGGAGGACAGCACGCACUCGGCCACGGCCACCGAGGACAGCUCGCAGGGCCCCGACAGCGUGGGCCUGGCCGACGACUCCGCGGAUGCGCUGUGGGUGCGGGCAGGGCGCUGACGCCUGCGCCGCCCGCACGGAGACCCCCUGACCCCUCCAGCUGCAGCGUCGGGACCCCCGAGGUGCGCCAAGGGGUGGGGGGCGUCUGGCCUGGGGGAGCGGCUCCUGCCGGCCGCGUCCUCGGCCCUCGUGCGUGAGCAGCCCCAGAACUUGGCGGGGCCCUGCCUGACUCCCCGUGGCAGCGCUGGGCAAAGUCACUGGCCUUUGUCCUCCUGCCCCACCCCUUUCCUUGGAUUUUUAAUUUUCUACGCCUAGCUAAAAAUAAAUUUAGUAAGUCCGAGAGAUUCCACGCCUGCUGUGGAUGACUUCAUCCCCCUUCUGAUUUUUCCUGCCUCCAGCCAGGGAGGAGGGAGCACGGCCCCUGCCAAGCCCCCAUGGCAU